rnacentral:rRNA from 1 species
UACGUAGGUGGCAAGCGUUGUCCGGAUUUAUUGGGUUUAAAGGGUGCGUAGGCGGCCCGUUAAGUCAGUGGUGAAAGCCUCCAGCUCAACUGGAGAACUGCCAUUGAUACUGACGGGCUUGAGUACAGACGAGGUAGGCGGAAUUGAUUGUGUAGCGGUGAAAUGCGCAGAUAUCAGGAGGAACACCAAUGGCGAAGGCAGCUCGCUGGAACGGUACUGACGCUGAGGCGCGAAAGCGUGGGGAGCGAACAGG